rnacentral:rRNA from 1 species
GACGAACGCUGGCGGCGUGCUUAACACAUGCAAGUCGAACGGUAAGGCCCUUCGGGGUACACGAGUGGCGAACGGGUGAGUAACACGUGGGUGAUCUGCCCUGCACUUCGGGAUAAGCCUGGGAGACUGGGUCUAAUACCGGAUAGGACCCUGGGAUGCAUGUCCUGGGGUGGAAAGCUUUUGCGGUGUGGGAUGGGCCCGCGGCCUAUCAGCUUGUUGGUGGGGUGAUGGCCUACCAAGGCGACGACGGGUAGCCGGCCUGAGAGGGUGACCGGCCGCACGGGGACUGGGAUACGGCCCAGACUCCUACGGGAGGCAGCAGUGGGGAAUAUUGCACAAUGGGCGCAAGCCUGAUGCAGCGACGCCGCGUGAGGGAUGACGGCCUUCGGGUUGUAAACCUCUUUCAGCACCGACGAAGCGCAAGUGACGGUAGGUGCAGAAGAAGGACCGGCCAACUACGUGCCAGCCGCCGCGGUAA